CGGGUGGAGCUUGCGGUUUAAUUGGAUUCAACGCCGGAAUCUUACCGGGACCGACAGCAAUAUGAAGGCCAGGCUGAAGACUUUGCCGGAUUAGCUGAGAGGUGGUGCAUGGCCGUCGUCAGUUCGUACUGUGAAGCAUCCUGUUAAGUCAGGCAACGAGCGAGACCCACGCCCACAGUUGCCAGCGUACUCUCUGGAGUGACGGGUACACUGUGGGGACCGCCGCUGCUAAAGCGGAGGAAGGAAUGGGCAACGGUAGGUCAGUAUGCCCCGAAUAUCCCGGGCUACACGCGAGCUACAAUGGUUGGUACAAUGGGUAUCUACCCCGAAAGGGGACGGGAAUCUCCUAAAACCAAUCUUAGUUCGGAUUGAGGGCUGCAACUCGCCCUCAUGAAGCUGGAAUCCGUAGUAAUCGCGUUUCAACAGAACGCGGUGAAUACGUCCCUGCUCCUU
rnacentral:rRNA from 1 species